GGCUUGGUGGAGAAUAUUGCACAAUGGGGGAAACCCUGAUGCAGCCAUGCCGCGUGUGUGAAGAAGGCCUUCGGGUUGUAAAGCACUUUCAGUAAGGAGGAAAGGGUGAGUCUUAAUACCGGUCAUCUGUGACGUUACCUACAGAAGAAGGACCGGCUAACUCCGUGCCAGCAGCCGCGGUAAUAAAAA
rnacentral:rRNA from 1 species